CGACUUCUGCAGAUAGGACAAGAACUGACGAAGAGAAGAAGAAGACAUCUGAGACGACGCUUACGGCGGCUUUUGCUCUUUUGCAGUUUGGUGUCUCAAAUUUUUUAGGGUUAUUCGCUUUGGGCCUUUGCAAGCAAGUCAAGAAAGUUGGGAUAACAUUUAAUGCAUAUGAUGGACUCAUAAAGAAACAUGGAGAGAGAAUCUCGGUUAAUGGCGACGACGUUGGGCUCGAUGUCGGCUGAUCUUCCAUCAAUGGUAACCGUCAAGGAGAAAAGAAAACUGGCAGAAGAGAAUAUUUGUCAAUACUCCAAAACUAGGAUCUUUGGAGAUCUCUCGUGAUUGCUACUUUGCUUCCUUAC